rnacentral:rRNA from 1 species
AGAGUUUGAUCCUGGCUCAGGAUGAACGCUGGCGGCGUGCUUAACACAUGCAAGUCGAACGAAGCAUUUAGAACAGAUUACUUCGGUUUGAAGUUCUUUAUGACUGAGUGGCGGACGGGUGAGUAACGCGUGGGUAACCUGCCUUGUACUGGGGGAUAGCAGCUGGAAACGGCUGGUAAUACCGCAUAAGCGCACAAUGUUGCAUGACAUGGUGUGAAAAACUCCGGUGGUAUAAGAUGGACCCGCGUCUGAUUAGCUAGUUGGUGAGAUAACAGCCCACCAAGGCGACGAUCAGUAGCCGACCUGAGAGGGUGACCGGCCACAUUGGGACUGAGACACGGCCCAAACUCCUACGGGAGGCAGCAGUGGGGAAUAUUGCACAAUGGGGGAAACCCUGAUGCAGCGACGCCGCGUGAGCGAAGAAGUAUUUCGGUAUGUAAAGCUCUAUCAGCAGGGAAGAAAAUGACGGUACCUGACUAAGAAGCCCCGGCUAACUACGUGCCAGCAGCCGCGGUAAUACGUAGGGGGCAAGCGUUAUCCGGAUUUACUGGGUGUAAAGGGAGCGUAGACGGACGGGCAAGUCUGAAGUGAAAGGCAGGGGCUCAACCCCUGGACUGCUUUGGAAACUGUCCAUCUAGAGUGCCGGAGAGGUAAGCGGAAUUCCUAGUGUAGCGGUGAAAUGCGUAGAUAUUAGGAGGAACACCAGUGGCGAAGGCGGCUUACUGGACGGUAACUGACGUUGAGGCUCGAAAGCGUGGGGAGCAAACAGGAUUAGAUACCCUGGUAGUCCACGCCGUAAACG